rnacentral:lncRNA from 1 species
GGAGAACCAGCCAUCAUAAGAAGAGCUCCACUUUAAACGAUUGCACACCAAUAACAAUCAGCUGGAAAAUACCAUAGAAUAAGGAAAUGUCAUGAAUUCCAUCUCCUCUGUUGCCUUGAGGUGCAGAAACUGAUGAAAGGAACAGAGAUUAUAAUCAACAUGUGGAGCCUGCUGUCAAGACAAAAAAAUAUGAAGAGAAAAACAGAAGACUUUGCUAAGGUUGUGUUUCUGACCUAUUUACUAUGGUAUGGAAUUCUGUAGUGACUCCAAAUAAAAAGGGCAAAACACAGAGACCUGUUCCCA